ensembl:lncRNA
CAUGCAUCCUCGGAAACGCAUUCAUCCCUCAUUGGUUCCCCAGUAAAAACGUCCCCCAGAAACGCAUCCUCUAGGAAUGGGUUCCCCUCUCAUAAAUGCAUCCUCAGAAACGCGUUCCCCCAGACCUGGGUCCCCCCCCAUAACUGUGCACCUACAGAAGUGGGGCCCCCCGUGAAAUCCCCCCCUUCUAAAUCACUCCCUCUCAGCGCUGUGCCCCCCCGGAACUUGGCCCCAUGGGGACAUCUCCCCUCAAAAAUGGGGCCGCCCCCCAGAAAUGCGUCCCAGGAACCGUGCCCCCCCCCCCACACACACUGCCCCACUCACCUCUUCCAUCCGCUGCUGCUGCGCUUCCACCGCCUCCCACAACAGCGCCCUCAGCACCUCGGGCUGGAACAGGAAGUCCCGCCCACCCGGGGCAGGAAGUCACAAAUCGGGGGGGAGGCAGGAAGUCCCGCCCCUUUCCUGUUCCCACCACAGGAAGUCCUAUCCCCAGGGAAGAAAGGAAAUCCUGCCCCCAACACAUACAGACAGGAAGUCCCUCCCACCAGCCCAACUGAGACAGGAAGUCCCUCCUCCACCCCGCUCCUAAAACAGGAAGUCCUUCCCCUGACAAACAGGAAGUCCCACCUCUGCUCCACUCUCAAAACAGGAAGUCCCUCCCCUGACAGAAAUACAGACAGGAAGUCCCACCUCCACCCAUCUCCCAAAACAGGAAGCCCCUCCCCCAACAGACACAGACAGGAAGUUCCUCCUCUAUCCCUCUCCCAACACAGGAAGUCCCUCCCUCAAAAGAAAUACAGACAGGAAGUCCCCCUCCUCCACCCCUCUCCCAAAACAGGAAGUCCCUCCCCCGACACACACAGACAGGAAGUCCCACCUCCACCCAUCUCCCAAAAAAGGAAGACCCUCCCCCAACACAUACAGACAGGAAGUCCCACCUCGACCUUUCUCCCAACACAGGCAGUCCCUCCCUCAAGAGAAAUACAGACAGGAAGUCUCUCCCACCACAGAAACACAGACAGGAAGUUCCUCCUCCACCCCUCUCCCAAAAUAGGAAGUUCCUCCCCCAACACACACGGAUAGGAAGUCCCUCCUCUACCCCUCUACCAACACAGGAAGUCCCUCCUUCAAAAGAAACACAGACAGGAAGUCCCCUUCCUCCAUCCCUCUCCCAAAACAGGAAGUCCCUCCCCCGACACACACAGACAGGAAGUCCCAUCUCCACCCCCUCCCCAAACACAGGAAGUCCCUCCCCUGACAAACAGGAAGUUCCUCCUCUAUCCUUCUCUCAACACAGAAAGUCCUUCCCCCUACAGACACACAGACAGGAAGCCCCACCUCCACCCCUCUCCCAAAACAGGAAGCCCCUCCCCCAACACACACAGACAGGAAGUCCCUCCUCUACCCCUCUCCCAACACAGGAAGUCCCUCCCUCAAAAGAAAUACAGACAGGAAGUCCCCCUCCUCCNCACCAGAAACAGGUUCCCCCUCAAGAACUGUGAGUGCCUGCAUGUUGGUUCCUCCCACAACUGGUUCCCCCACGCUAUCACAGGUCCGUCCCUCAAUGAGGUCCCCUGCUAAUGUGGGGCCCCACUCCAAUUGGGUCCCCCAAAAACUAAGACCCCUGCACACAGGUUCCUCUCCUAAACGGGUCCCGCAUCCCAAGUGUGUUCCCCCAUAACUGGGUCCGUCUCGCAAAAGGUUCCCCCACUAUGCCGAGGUCCCACCGCAAUUGGGUCCCCCCGGAACACAACCCCACACAUCUUCGUUCCUGCUCUUAAUGGGUCUCACCCCCUGUGAACGGGCCCCCUCAAAAUUCUGCCCUCCUGGAACACGGACCCCAAACACAGGUUCCCCCCCCAAAAUGGGUCCCCCCCCUCAAAACUGGGAGUCCCUGCAUGUUGGUUCCUCCCACAACGGGUUCCCCCACGCUAUCACGGGUCCGUCCCUCAAUGAGGUCCCCCACUAUGCUGGGGUCCCAACGCAAUUGGGUCCCCCCCGAACAGAACCCCACACAUCUUUGUUCCUGCUCUUAAUGGGUCUCACCCCCUGUGAACGGGCCCCCUCAAAAUUCUGCUCUCCU